UACGAAGGGUGCAAGCGUUACUCGGAAUUACUGGGCGUAAAGCGUGCGUAGGUGGUGAGUUAAGUCUGUCGUGAAAGCCCCGGGCUCAACCUGGGAAUGGCGAUGGAUACUGGCUCGCUAGAGUGCGGUAGAGGAGAGUGGAAUUCCCGGUGUAGCAGUGAAAUGCGUAGAGAUCGGGAGGAAGCAUCAGUUGCGAAGGCGGCUCUCUGGACCAGCACUGACACUGAGGCACGAAAGCGUGGGGAGCAAACAGG
rnacentral:rRNA from 1 species